rnacentral:rRNA from 1 species
GACGAACGCUGGCGGCGUGCCUAAUACAUGCAAGUCGAACGCAGUGGGGACGGGUGAGUAACACGUGGGUAACCUCCCAUCAGAGGGGAUAACCCUUGGAAACAGGUGCUAAACCGAUACUGAUGGAUGGACCCGCGGGGCAUUAGCUAGUUGGUGAGGUAACGGCUCACCAAGGCCACGAUGCUUAGCGGGCCUGAGAGGGGGAUCGGACACACUGGAACUGAGACACGGCCCAGACUCCUACGGGAGGCAGCAGUAGGGAAUCUUGGGCAAUGGGCGAAAGUCUGACCGAGCAACGCCGCGUGAGUGAAGAAGGUUUUCGGGUCGUAAAGCUCUGUUGUUAGGGAAGCGUUACCUAACCAGAAAGCCACGGCUAACUACGUGCCAGCAGCCGCGGUAAUAC